rnacentral:rRNA from 1 species
UACGAAGGGGGCUAGCGUUGCUCGGAAUCACUGGGCGUAAAAGCGCACGUAGGCGGCUUUUUAAGUCAGGGGUGAAAUCCUGGAGCUCAACUCCAGAACUGCCUUUGAUACUGAGAGCUUGAGUCCGGGAGAGGUGAGUGGAACUGCGAGUGUAGAGGUGAAAUUCGUAGAUAUUCGCAAGAACACCAGUGGCGAAGGCGGCUCACUGGCCCGGUACUGACGCUGAGGUGCGAAAGCGUGGGGAGCAAACAGG